AGAGUUGAUCAUGGCUCAGGAUGAACGCUAGCUACAGGCUUAACACAUGCAAGUCAGGGGCAUCAGGGAGAAAGCUUGCUUCUUGCUGGCGACCGGCGCACGGGUGAGUAACGCGUAUCCAACCUCCCCUUAGUAGGGCAUAGCCCGGCGAAAGUCGGAUUAAUACCCUAUGUUAUCCGAAGAGGACAUCUGAAUUGGAUUAAAGAUUUAUCGCUAAGGGAUGGGGAUGCGUCUGAUUAGGUAGUCGGCGGGGUAACGGCCCACCGAGCCUACGAUCAGUAGGGGUUCUGAGAGGAAGGUCCCCCACAUUGGUACUGAGACACGGACCAAACUCCUACGGGAGGCAGCAGUGAGGAAUAUUGGUCAAUGGGCGCGAGCCUGAACCAGCCAAGUAGCGUGCAGGAAUGACGGCCCUAUGGGUUGUAAACUGCUUUUAUGCGGGGAUAAAGUGCGGCACGUGUGCCGUUUUGUAGGUACCGCAUGAAUAAGGACCGGCUAAUUCCGUGCCAGCAGCUGC
rnacentral:rRNA from 1 species